UACGGGAGGCAGCAGUGGGGAAUAUUGCACAAUGGGCGCAAGCCUGAUGCAGCCAUGCCGCGUGUAUGAAGAAGGCCUUCGGGUUGUAAAGUACUUUCAGUCGUGAGGAAGGUGUUAAGGUUAAUAACCUUAGCAAUUGACGUUAGCGACAGAAGAAGCACCGGCUAACUCCGUGCCAGCAGCCGCGGUAAUACGGAGGGUGCGAGCGUUAAUCGGAAUUACUGGGCGUAAAGGGCACGCAGGCGGUUAAUUAAGUUGGAUGUGAAAUCCCCGGGCUUAACCUGGGAAUGGCAUUCAAGACUGGUUAGCUAGAGUCUUGUAGAGGGGGUUAGAAUUCCAUGUGUAGCGGUGAAAUGCGUAGAGAUGUGGAGGAAUACCGGUGGCGAAGGCGGCCCCUGGACAAAGACUGACGCUCAUGUGCGAAAGCGUGGGGAGCAAAC
rnacentral:rRNA from 1 species